GGGGGGGGCAAGCGUUGUUCGGAUUUACUGGGCGUACAGGGAGCGUAGGCGGUUGGAUAAGCCCUCCGUGAAAUCUCCAGGCUUAACCUGGAAAGUGCAGAGGGGACUGUUCAGCUAGAGGAUGGGAGAGGAGCGCGGAAUUCCCGGUGUAGCGGUGAAAUGCGUAGAGAUCGGGAGGAAGGCCGGUGGCGAAGGCGGCGCUCUGGAACAUUUCUGACGCUGAGGCUCGAAAGCGUGGGGAGCAAACAGGAUUAGAUACCCUGGUAGUCCACGCCUUAAACGAUGGAUACUAAGUGUCGGCGGGUUACCGCCGGUGCCGCAGCUAACGCAGUAAGUAUCCCGCCUGGGAAGUACGGCCGCAAGGUUG
rnacentral:rRNA from 1 species